rnacentral:lncRNA from 1 species
AUAAAAGCCUAAGAGCUUUGAAGGAGCCAUUACAGACUAUUGCCUAGAAGAAAUAUCCAUUUGAAAAUUCUGCAAUUAUGUACUUCUAUAAUAGCGUGUAAAAGGAGCUCUGGACCCAUUAUGGGUUAUUGAGUAAAUAAUGUAUUUUUAAAAGUGUCUAAGUAAUUUAUAUGAUAGCCUGUAUUGGCAGCAAAGAGUGAUUGUAGAAUAAACAUUGUGUCUUCCUUUUUAAAAAAAUCUCAUUUAAAUCCCUACAUAGCAAUUAAAAAAAGAAAUCCCUGAUGCAGUUUCAGUUUUUCUGUAGUAGUCAAUAGCUAAUGUCUCUGACUUUACUCCACCAUUUUGCACUGAGCCAGUUUCCUCUGCUCUGACAUUUUUUGUGUGUUGAUUGGGUAAAAAAGGAGGCUUCAUUAUCAAAUAUAAUAGAGGUGUCCAGAGGCCUCCGAGAGGUCAGACUCACAGUCAUCAGACAUCCCCAUAAUCAGGAACAGCCACGCAUCAGAAGGGCCAAGGGUCCAGAGAGAGAGGCCAUGAAGCUGUCAGUCCCUAUUUCAGGGACAAAUUGAGAGGAAAUGUGUUGUCUGAGAUCACACAGGAGACAAACCUCUACUCUCCUGAGCAAGUUUAGUAUCUUGGCUUUAUGUUCAGACCUUCUGUGGAAAGGCACCAUGUGAGAUCCCCGUUCCUGUGGAUCCUCAGUGCUAAUGCCUGAAACAGUCUUGCUCCUUUCUCAGAUGUUCCACAAUAGCUUUGCUUCAGACCACUGCGCUUUCAAGCACAGACCCUGGUCAACGCAGAUGUGAAAAUACUGCAGUUCAAAAUACCUAUAUUGCAACAACAGUGCUAGAAAGCAAACUUCUGUUCCUAUGUGCGGCGUAAGCUUCACUUAGUCCUUCCUUUUAUUUAUCACAUUAUUUCCUGCUGUGGCAGGGGGACUUUAUCUUCACAUCUCCAAAUACCUGUUAGGCCAAGCAAUUUGGAGCUGCCACAUGGAGACUACGGUAUUUAUAUAUACUUUAAAAUCAUACAGUGAUUGUUACCUGAGGGUACAAAGUAAAACAGUUCUCUGCUUAUGGUGAUGCUCCAGCCUCAACUCUUCUAUGCAACUGUCCCUGGCAUAAGUUAGAGAUGAAGUCACUUAAAUUGUUCUGUAGGUCCAGACCUGUGUUGUAAGUGGUCUUGUUCAGAAAAUACCCUAACGGUCAGCAGGAAGCAGACGUGUUAACAGGAGUGCCAGGGCUUCUGCAUUCCCUUUCUAGAGGCUAUGUAAUACCUAUCCCUACUGUAUUAAUCCAUGUGCAUGUUCAGAACAGAUCAUGUGCUUCCCAUAGCUCUGCUGUUCAAUCACACCUCAAGAACAUAGUCUUUAGAUCUGAAUUUGAGUCACUGUAUACGAAGUGUUUUCAAUACAAUGAACAGAAGUGUGGCUUUUUGGCUGCCCUCUGAGGAGAUUACAGGAGAUAAGUAUCUGUAGCAAGGCCACCAACAGAUGAAAUUCUCUUUUUUAAUGUAUUUGGAAUGAAAAAAAAAAAAAAAAGAGGAAAGAAAGAAUAAAUGCAAGGAUACCAAAUUGCACAUAGCUCAAAAGACAAAAGACAAAUAAAUGAAAGGGAGUGCCUUAAUGAAGAGACAGUAAAGUGGCACUAAGAGAAAAGAUGAAGUGAAAAAAUGAAUGGUGAAGGGGAAAUAAUAAAGCCAAAAAUUAAUUGAGAAGAAACAAGGUGAAAGGUAUAAAUACAUUUAAGUUGUAUUUGAGCAAGAUGUCUCAGAAAGAAAUCAGUCUCUCACUACUCAGCUGUAUUUGUCACUUAGGAAGUGUUGGGCUAAUUGACUAAAGAGGUGAUGAAGUCUUCAUCAAUUGAGAAUUUCAGUGACAAAGUACUCAAAAACAUGGGUAAUACUGUCAGUUAUUGAACCUUUUAUGAUCCCUUCCGGAUCCAUUUUCUACAACCUCACCAUCCUAAAGAGUGUAUUAAACUAGGACUGAGAGUGGUACCUCAGUUGUGUGAUUAUGGGAGACUUUUGUUUCUGGCUCUAUUACCUCCUGGCUGAAGUUCUGCAAGGUCUCACAGAGUAAAUACAGCAUAUACUUUGAGAUGAGGAAGAUGAACAUACAGGGUAAAACCAAGAAAAGGAACUGGUUGAUCCAAAAACAUUUUCUUCUGAGAUAUGGACCGAAGCCCACAACCCUUACACCUUUUGCUCAUACUGACGAUCCCUAUUCUGCAACAAAUGCAUAGUUUGGCUUUGAUACAAAAUCAGAGUCCUUAUAACAUGAGAUGAAAGAUCCCGAGGCCCUUCUUGCAAGGACAGUUAUGAACUCCUCUGUUGUGCUUCAAACCUAAAUAAUUCUACUCUUUUUUUUCAAAGAAAAUUCCUCAUAGCUUUAGCCAAAAUCAUUCUUCACUUCCUCUGCUGGCUUCUCUUGAAUGGUGGGUGAAGAGAGGUCACAGGUAUGAAGCUGCCUAGGAUUCUUCCAGGCUGCUGAUUAUUGAUAUGCAAACCAACAGUCACCACUGCAGACUAAAACAAAAUGUGAAACAGGCUUUUAAAAGAAAAGUCUGUCCAGGUAUCAUUUUAGGUUGUAAGAAAGGUUAAUUCUCCAAUUUGUUGAUCAGGGCUUGCUAGGAGGACUGACCAGACCUCAGUGUGAUCACAUCAGUGGUCCUCACCUGAAAGUGAAACCUGAAGGCUUGGAUUGCUCAAUGCUGCCAUAGGAAGGCACAGACUUUGAAAGCAGCAACUCCUUCCUCUUACAAAUUUGCAGUGUAUUCUCCCUUUUUCCACUCUGUACCACUGAGCAUGAUGAUGGUAGCUGGAGGGAACUUUUGUUUGUUUCUCUGUUUUGUUUUGUUUUUCCCUGACUUUAUUUUUGAGAUGUUAGUUACAUUAUUUGAGGGUGUGUAUGAGAUUCUGGAAGCACAAUUUACUUCUGCUGUGCUGUGAGAUCCUUGGUAUGGUAUUGACUCAUUCAUUGGCACCUGAGAGAGGUUUGGGGAAUUCAGCAAGCUUUCAACAAUCCAGUUUGAGAGAUUAUACAGAAUUAUGGCUCAGUCAGGUUCGUCCUAAUUUUAUUAGAUUUCCACCAUUUCUAAUUGCAUAAACAUAUGCAGCCAAAUAUACAGAUGGGGACUGGGAAGAUGUACAAGGACACUCAGAGUCUGUAGUCAGCUAAUUGGUGGACUAAGUAAUAGGGCACUUGGAAAGAUUGAUUAUUUUUUUCAGAGCAUUUCAGGAGAAAAUUCUGUCCCCAUUAAAACUGUAGCAAUCAAGAGAAGAAAGAUUUUAGCAGUAGAUUUUUUUGGAAAUGGUGAAAGAGACAGGCAUAAAUAUGCGACGCAGAAAAAAUCCAAGAUGAAUGAUGUUAUUUUGGGCAAGAUCUGCUAUUUUAGCCAUAGGAAGAAAGAUAGAGUGUCUCGAAAACAUAGAACAACUGGCUUGAUCCAUAGGGUAACAUCAGAAAUCUUUUGAUCAGGGCUAAAUACAACAGUUUCAAAUAUUGCCUGGGCAAAUGAGAAGUCAUUUUGUAUGAAUAUUGUUACUGGUAGCAAAUGCCAGAUUGUAUAAAGUUUUCAGAAAUACUUUAUAUUUUCUUUUGGAAGAUAAAUGUUUAGCUAGGGCUAGGAAAGAUCUUGGGCCAUAACUCCCAUUUCUGGUCAAAUGAUACCAUCUGAGGUACUGGCAUGGCUGUUCAUAUGAGUACCUUCACAUAAAGUAACAUUGCUGUCCAUCCUUGUUCAGGAAUAAGCCAUGCUGUUGGCUUAUUCCCUACCAUCACAGCAGAAGGGGACGGGAGGGAAGUGUUUGCUCAGUUUUUUGUUAUGAACCAUCUUCAUCCAUGACACAGCAGCUGCACUAUGGAAUUCACCCUGGAUGAAUGGGAAUGCCAAUGUCUUCACCUCCUGAAGAGAGGACACAGCUCUCAGACUGAAUUAGCCACAGCUGGAUAGGUUGUUUUGAAAUCUCCACAAUUUUCAGACCUGGAAGAUUUUUCCAUCAUGCUGGCCUGGGGUAGGCAUUUGGUGGGUGAGUAAACUAUAAUUUGGUUUGUUUUGCCUUAUGAAGUAAGUGUAGAAAAUACACCAAAGUAGCUGGUCACAUAUUUGGACCUGGGCUUCUCACGAAAGUUCUGCAAAACCCUCUCAAAUGUCUGAAUAUUUACUAAGUAGGUCACGAAAUAUUUUCCAACAACAAAAAUACAAAUACAAAAAUACAAUAGAGUAAUCCUAUUGGGAUGUAGUUAUGUGCUAAUGACUUUAUUUUCUUCUUCCUCCUGUUCAGGCAGUAACAUGCAAAGUGACCACAGCACUGUUGUGAAAUUGCUGAUUAACCUUUUGACUCUGACAAUUGGGACUUCUCUUAACACCAAUUGGUAAUGCAAAAGACCAUUAGUAGUUAAUAUUGGGACACCCCACCUCCAGAUGCCAAAAGGUUAAUGAAAAAGCAAGUAUCUUGCUUUUACUGGGAAACUUGGAAACCUUCCCACCAAACAUUUCAUUUUUUGUGAUAAACAAGCCAGACCGCUUCAGCUGAGAAAGACGGGUGUUUUGCUAAUGUGUACAGCUGUUAAUUGAAAAAGAUUCUGUUAUGCCUGUUCUUCUGGACAUAGAUAAAAGAGAGAUUUGUUGGUGAACUUUAGUUGGUCCUGAACACCCCUUUGUCAAAAUACACUGCUCAAUAAUAACGCUUUGUUCUGUCUGUAACAGCCACGGAAGGAUUUUGAGUGGAAUACUCAUUUUCUUUAAGUCAUAUCUGCCAGUGAUCAUUCUUGGCUUAAGAUCAGCUGCCAUUUAUGUGUUUUAUGAAAAUAUAACACCAGUUUUAUGCUCAAAACUAUUCUUUUUUAGGUAAAAGCUUCAGCACAAACUGGUUCCCCAUAUGUACCAUAAAUGCUAUUUAUCACAGGUUUUGGUCUUUAAAACAGAAUGAUAAUGUUAAAACAUUUUCAUUACCCUUUCCUUACAGCUAUCAUUCACAAACCAUCUUUUAUAAUUAUGGUACUAGGACAUUUACAUAACUGGGAAAAAGGUCCUUAAACUACAUUUCUAUUAUGUUUGGCACUUGUGUGAAAGGAUAUUAUAUUCAUGUGCAUUAGAGAUUGCUUAUAAAAGAUCAAGACAAUAAUAGCAGAUCAGACGAUAAAGGUUCCCUUUUCUCCUCCCAGACAGGCUGUCUCUGACAGAAGAAUACAGUUCAUCAAAAGUGUCUGCAGGUUGUCAAACUCAGUGAGAUUUGGGGACACUCGGAGGCUGUCAUGGCCAACAAGAAGAUUUUCUGUAGGGUUCUGCCAUCAUUCACCCUCAGGAAAUAAUCACUCACUACAUUCUGCAUGCUCUCAUGAUAGAGCUCUAUUUGAGAGAAAAGAGCCAUUUUAUCAAAGGACAAUAUAUCCCUUCUCUUGGUCCAUGCAGCUUCCAUUAUCAGACCAUAAUAAAUCAUAUUUAUGUUCUCAGUUAAUAAGACUGAUUACAAUGCAGGUUACAGGCAUGGGAAAAGCAAAGCAGGUGAAAAGAUGUUUUAAUGAAAAUAUGAUAAGCAAACAGCUUCUUGUGAACAUUUCAGGCUGUUAUUUGUAAUGAUCACAGGCAAUUUUUGAUACAUCUUCUUUAGCAAUGGUUUAAGCUGCAUAAAUUGGCUUGCCACUUUAUACGUCGAAAUAGGAAGAAUCCCAGUGUCCUUCUUAUGUUGUCUAGAAUCAUUAUAUACAUUAUAAGCAUAAAAUGAGUUUAAUGUAUGUGCUUUGAAAAGAUGGGGAAAACAGAAAAUCAGGGAGGACUGAUUUUAAUGCUGCUCAAAAUGAUUUUGAAAUUUUCUGCACAUCUUUGUUACUAACGGUGCAUUUUCCAUGAAAUUUAGGGAUGACAUGUGGUGCUUUCAUCUCCUUAAAAUUAAUAUACUUCUCUUUCUGUUUUUCUCAGUUUCUUCAAAGUUCUUUUUAGAACACUGUGCAAAGAGACAGAGAGAAAAUUCUCCACUCGAUGUGUGAACAUAUCUGUUAUUAAUGCUGGGGGGGAGUUAAGUGUGUGCUUCUAGAGGAGAAUAUACCCCUGCGUUAAACACUGAAAUCAACCCUAUCAAAAAGGUGCAAGGAUAUUUAGCUGCAGCACACCUGAUGCAUUCAAGGGCCAAAUUCCUUAGAAUCUUUUAAAGUGAUCAAGAUCUCUUUUGUUAAGAGCGCUCCAAUGAUUUCAGAAUAUAACUGUACUUAAGUAGCCGAGGAAGUGUCUUGCUCUUGUCUCGUGAAAAGCUUUCUUUUAUGUUUUAUUGUUGUUUUCUUUUUUGCUGUAGUCAUUUGGUUUAUGUUUAGCAUCAUACUUUCAAGACAAAGUUAAAAAUUUAAAGAAUAAUUUCUUCCUGCUAGCAGAUAAUGCUGACUAAGUAUUUCAAAAUCUACAGCACUUGCAGAAUGCAAGCAUUAUGCUUAAAAUGUAUAUAAUGAUUCCAGACAAUAUGAGAAGGACACUGGGAUUCUUCCUACUUUGAUAUAUAAAGUGGUGAGCAAACGCAGAAGUCUCCAUGGUGUUGUGUGUCUGUAGGAGCUGUUCUGGUCACUGAUACUUCUAAAGCUCCCUUAAACAAAUGUUAAAGCUUUGUAAUGGGCCUGGCAAUGGAGAAUGACCAUGAAAUUCCCUUAACCCUUUUAGGGCACUUCAGCAGGAGAAGUGAUCACACAAGAAACAGUAAACUGCGCUUCAAAGGCAGCAUCCUGAUAUGACAACAGAUGUAGAUAAUGCACUUCAUGAUGAAACUGCUUGAUACAGAGAAAAACACGUUGUAACUGCCUUCACCCUGAAAGGGGUUUAAAAAUGCUGCCUGCCAACUCCACAAAAAACAGAGCUGCUAUUUCAGUUAAAGGCCAGUGGAUUGUAUUUUUCGUGUCAGUUUUCACUAACCUCAAACAUCACUGUUAUGACAGACUGUCAUCCAACCAAGCCAGCACUGUGGUGCCAUUCAGGCAAGAAAGAAGAAAGCAAACACAAAGGAAACUUAGAAGUCCGAGCAGUAAGAGCGGGUGUCUGUGAGUGCACUUUUGUGCAGCGAUACUGAUUACUGAAAAUGAAACACUUAAAAGAAAACAAACCCAAAAAAGUGAUUUCUGAGCCAUUGGUGUUUUCUUGCCUGGCAAUUUCUCUUUGUUCUGUUUCAUGACAUCAGCCUCAGUGGUUGAAAGGGUGUUCUGGGCCAGAUGUCAAUCACUAUGUCUGACAUAAACAAAAAUAGCUAAAAAGACAUGCCAGCAUCUUCCUUUUGUUUUCCCAUUAGCUCCAUUUUUCUUUUCAGAGGCUGACAAAAAAUUACUGCCUCCGAGUGAAUUCAGUAAUGUCACUAUAUAUCUAAUAUCUAGGAGACCUUUUGUUUUAGCUUUACUGGGCUUAACCACAAAAGACACUUGACAUUGACAAAGAGUCUGUCAAAUACACAAUGAUCAGUGCAGUGAAAUCUCUCAUGACAGAAGGGCACUAUUCUGCACCCCCAGCCUGCAGCAGCCUAUCUGAGUAAAAUGUGCUGGAGCACAUGCAGCAGCUGAACCAUUGCAGAGCAGGCCAUAAGCUGAGAUGUGUCUUGUUUAAAGUGUCAUAGUAUAUUAGUGUAAUUAAAACCGCCAAAAGAAUAGAAAAGAUAGAUGGAAAUGUUACAUUACUUGUUUCUAGAGAUUAACCUCCAGCCAGAACUGAAAUACAGGGACACAUUUUGCAUGUCUUAGAGCUCUGAUAUGGAAGAAAACAAGCCUGAGUGUAUGUCUCUUGAAGUGUGAGACAUGAAGUCAUAGUUCCUGUAUUUACACAAUAAAGCAGAAACAGCGCUUCAGACAGGCACGCUGUUUUCUCUCUGAUUACAGCUCCCGUUGUGGCUGUACUCUGCAAAGCAGCUGUAUCAUCUCUCAGCUACUUCCCUUUUACUCUCACUGCCUUCGUGCUUGGAAGGUCUUGAGGACCCUUGGGCCAACAGAUGUGCUGGUGUCAAUGCCUUCUGCUCCCUUGGCAUCUGCCAGCAUUGCGUGGGCCCAGCCUAGAGGCAGAGCACCCUGUCCCUGUGGUGUCUGCAGAAGACACAGCUCAGCUCCAGACUCAGCAACACCCAGCUAGGAAGAUGUUUGAAGAAUGGCUUCAGUCUGACCUUUAUAUACCAGGCUGCAUGCUUGCUUCUCUGUUGACUCUAUAGAUAAAACUGCAUGGCUUUCUGAAAUUGACUCUGAAAAUUAUGUUCCCAGAACUGCAUGUUUUCCUUCCCAUGCCUCAUUACCUGUGAUAACUAUUCAAGCCUAACUAGUUACGAUCUCUGUUCUAACCAUGAGGCAAGUUAUAUCUGGUGGUGAAAAACCCUUGGAGUUUUUAUGGACCUGUUCAGCUGUGUUGGCUGAACGUUGGUUUAUCCAGUAUCUGGAGAGGACCUCAUCUGGCUUCAGCAGUUCUGAAGCAUACAAAAGCAGCGUGGUUUUCUUCUAAUGUAAGCCUUACAUUCAAGGAGAAGAUGCAUUAAUCAGAUUCAUCUCAGUGACUGUGAAAUUCCUGAGGAUGUUAUUACUUUCAAGUCAGAUUAACGGAGUAAUUUCCAGACAACCAUGCUACCAGAAUACAUGAUACUACUCUUAAAGUGGACCUCAAAAACUUUGAGAAAGAAAAUGAUUCCAUCUUUUUUGAUCAGGUUCUUCCUCUACAGGAGUUCCUGCAGCUACAGGACCAGGAGAUGUCCGAGGUCAAGAAAAGGUUAAAGUUGUUCACUGCUUUCAAGCUCUGGCCUUAGAAGUUAAUUCAGUGCUGUGCUGCGAGAGCUACAGAGUAAAUCCUUGGAACAGUGAAUUGCUGGUUUGAUAUCAAGGUCUGUGGGCUUUAAUAAUAUAAUUAGUUUGUUUGCAAAGGAAAUCCUAGCAGGGACAUUAUGGUCAUAUAAAGUCAUUAUACUGUUUUACAACAUAACUUUAACGAUGUUUUGGAAUGAUCAGAGUCUGUGGGAAAGGAUUCUAUUUUUUAUUACUUGUGGGAUAUCUUUAAACUGUCAUAGCUACAACAGUGCCUCUUGGAAUAGGUGCUCUACAGUUCAAAGGAAAAGACAGAAGGUAUUUAGAGGCCUAAGUUAGGUUGCUGGGCAUAUCUGUCCAGAGAAAGCCUGAAAGUUAAAUUGUGUGGAUUCCAUGCCCUUCUGGCAACCAGCUCCUGUUUUGUAGGAGGUGGACACUUGGGGUAAUCUAGGUAUUUUACUGCAUUUCCACAAGAGCAGAUAGAGAGCCUAGGACACUACAAGCUUUGUUUUUCAUAGUUCUCUGUCUGAGAAUUCAGGGGUGAGCAGUUUUAAAAGUAUUAGAAAAGGAAGAGGGCAUAUUUUCCAAAACUUUGAUAUCCCGUGAACUCAAAGGCAGAAGAAACAUUAAACUAGUCAGUUCUGCUGCCAUUUCUGCUCUGCUAAUGCUGAGGCAACACUCUUUGCUGCAAGAGAAGAGAGACAAAGAACCAUUAAAUUGGGAUGAGGGGAGCAUGCUACAGAGAGAUUUCCCUGUGCCAUGCCUGUGGUGUAGAGGGGCUUCUGGAUGUGCUGAGGGACGGGUCCUGUAGGGCCUCAUUUUCUUCCUCCUCUGUAAACUAUGUCUAACUGCUUCAGUGAGAGAAAGCAUCAAGCCCCAUCUUGUUCAUAGAAAUACAACAUAUUUUAAAGCUGUAGUUAAUGGAUAAGCUGCUUUCUGAUUGGGUGAGCUGCACAAUAAAUCUCUCUGUGAGCCAAGUGCAGUGCAGCUUGUUCAGGAACAGUGAAAUGAGCCACUGUCACUUUGCUGCACUCUCAUACAUCAGGCAAAACGCUUCCAUCUUCAUCAGUCUUUUUGUAAAACAGAAAUAAAACAAUCGUAACAGAAUGGUGUCACUGGAUCCGUGGCACCUGCUUUAAAAAUAAAUCUCUGAGCUUUGUCUUUGCUAUUACUUUCAAUAGAUGUCCUAGCAUUGCCACAGCAUUUAUCUAGCAGCAGGAAACCAUUAUCCUAUGACAACAAUCUAUUCCAUUAACAUUAGCUCUUAAUUGUAAGAUUGUUUAUAAGACAGCAAAAGCUACUGAAUUAUACUAGAAUGAUAAAAAGAGUUAUGGUCAUGGAGUAUAGCAGUCACUCCAGUUCUGAAAAACAACUUUAGAAAAGUAGAGAGCUAUAUUUUCAUAUGAAAAAUAAUGCAAUAUUUGUAUGCAAGAAAAUGUUUUUAAAUAAUGGAUCACAUCAGCAAAAUAACUCUUAAAGAGUUAAUGUUAAAAAUUGUUACUGAGAAGCCUUUGCUUUGAUAAAUGGCGUAAUGAAAAAGCUGAAUAGAAAGCUUAGAAACUUGCACAGUUCUUCCUGAAAGGCUGUACUGAGUCAAACAGAGAAAUCAUAGUAACAGAAGCACAUUUGUUUGGCGGAGCCAACAGAAGGAAUGUUGCAAAAUUGAGAUAUGAAGAACCUAACUGCAGAAUAGAAGAACUGUCAUUCUGAUUGUUUGUCAUUAUUGUUUCAUGUCCAGUGAAGUGAACUUCGAGUGACAGUUGUGUCAUAACUACUGGCAUCUAUGUAAAUUUCAAAUCAAAUGCAAUAGAGGCAAUUCUGCCAGACACAACUCACCAGACUGCUUUUCCUCUUUACUUUUGUAACCCUCAAUUUUCUUAUACUAUGCUGCUAGCCCUUAAAUUAAAAAGACAACUUCAACAAGAGAUCCCUUUAAUAUGUGCUUUUCAAAUCUCAUUCCAUACCUUAUUUUCCCUCACUUCUUUGAAACAAUAGCUCACGUCAACAUUUCUAUCAGAAAGAAUCACCAUAAUCACCAGAUAUAUUAGCAGAAACUGCUCCUUCCCAUUGACCACAUACGCCAAAAUCCUUGGAAACUCUUAAGCCGUGGACUUCCCCUGAAGACAUACAGAGAAAAUGGCUCAAGCGAACACUCCUCCAUUCCUUCAGUGGAGCCCAGGUCAGCUGUGACAAGCAUCUGCUCUGUGGGUAGGUGCAAAAUACACGACAAAGAUAUCGGCCGUGGAUCCCUUCUGUAAACGAUGACCUCAUCCGGAGGUUAUGGGACCUUCACGAGGAUACCAGUCGUACUCCUCCAUGGCGAUGUGUUACAGUAAGUAACUCGCUUCCUGGAUGCACUUGUAACAGGCAGAUAUCCUAACAACACAGGAUACGCAGACAUGUCCAGGUCUUUAAGAAGUCUUCCAAUGCAAUUAUUAAGGUAUUACGUGCUGAUAACACCACCAAAAACAUUGAGCAUGCUGUUCAUUCAGUUGGGCAUGAAACUACUUCCUUCUGAAUAUUUUAAAUGUACUUGGCUAAUUAAUUAAACAAUUAAUAAGGGCUACAGUUAAGUUUCUGUUUUUCAUUGUAACAAAUUAUUCCAGAG